AUGCCUAUAUUCAUGAUCAUUGGCUUAGAUAUCGUCAUAACUUUACGCUUUUCUAUCAAUUGCUCUGCAGUAAUGUGUUCACUCACCGUAUUAUUUUCUAUCUUGAGAGAAACCUCUAGUGAAACCUAUGGCCCCCGGGUCUAUUUUCCAUCAUACAAGUUUCUGAUAUACUAUUUGCAGUAUUUUACUUUCCGAUCUAUAAACCAAAAAUACCAAAAAUAUUUACUUUAUCAUUUAUCUCUAUCAGAUCUCACUUUUCUAAAUAACUGUGAAGGGAUUUACAACCCCUUUAUCACAUUGGGUGCAAGUUUGUUUGACUGUUUGUGCAUGUAUUCGGUGAUUUGUGUGUUGUCUCCUACUGGUUUGAUACCUUGGUUCUCAAACUGA
rnacentral:rRNA from 1 species